rnacentral:rRNA from 1 species
AUGCUCUUCGGAGCCGCCGCUCCGACUUCCUCACCGGCCCCGAGGCCGCGCACACGCCUGGCCGACGAAGAACCCACAAAGCCACCCGAGCCACCGCGAGUUGACGAGGACCAGACCUCCAAGGCGUCGCCCCCAAGAGGAAAGCGACAAGAAUGCCGCCGAUGCCCGUUCCGACCAAGGUCAAAACUUGGGUUUUCACCCGGAGAGCCCGAGACCGAGGCGACAAUGGUGGUGAAGGGGCUCCACGACGACGCCUCCAAGGAGGGAACGACGUCCGAGGACGCCGUCGACACCGGCAACGACCGAGGUCGAGCUAGGCUUUCGCCCGGAGCUCACCAAAACCAUCCUCACCGCAGCCUGCCCAGCAAACCGUCUCCGGGAUCAUGCCGACCGUCCUCGCCCAGCCACAUGACCGAGCAGACAAGGCAGCACGUCGCCGCCAACCACCACCGGCUGCAGAAACCACUACAGCCCACCUUCCUCCGCAACGGCGCCAUCGAGACCGCGGCCGCCCAGCACGCAAGGCAGCACCACCGCUGCCCUGACCCCACGCACCUCCCCGCCACCCCGGUGGACCAGAGCAGGCGCGCCUCUGCCGGACCGCCGCCACAGGCCGACGGCCCGCCUCACCACCAGAUCCGGGCGCAAGGGCCCCGAAUCCACCGCCUCGCAGGCUGCCGCCGGACAACCUCCGUGAGGGAGGUGCACGACGACACCACCACGUCCUGGGGCCGCCGCCCCAGCGCUCCAUCGCCGGCGAGCAAGGCGCAGCCGCCGCAGGGAAGCCAGAUCCGGGCGGAUCCGUUCCCCAAAAGCGAGCAGCAGCCGGCGCCGCACGUCCGCCACCAGCGCAGGCCGGCAAAGCCGCUGCCCACCGGAGCCCCAGACGCGCCGCCAACCGCCGUCCUCCGCCCACCGCUGCGCCACCCGCCGCCCUCCGCCGCGCCGUCCAGAGAUCCCCGCUCGUGA